AAUACAGAGUAUUAACAACGUAAGAGGGCACGAUGGCAAAUGCCUGUAAUCCCAGCUACUUGGGAAGGUGAGGCAGGAGGAUCGCCUGAGGAGCCCAGGAGUCUGAAAGCAGCCUAGGAGACAUUGCGAGACUUCAACUUAAUUUAAAAGAAUCAUGCAUAUUUUCGUGCAUGAUCCAGAUCUUGUUUAAAAAAGCAUAAUAUUCCAACACUUUGUUAUGAAGACUCAGAUGAUUUGAUAUAAAGGUUUCCUUUGGGACCAUACCUUGAGACUAUAGUAAAAUUAUUAUUAAGUAUACUCUUGGUAGGAAAUUAAUGCAUUAAGAACACUUUUCCCCUCCUUUAUAGUUCUCAAAUGCACGGAAAAAUAGAAUUUAUCACAAUCUGAUCUCUACAAGUGAGCUACAGUAUACAAUAGUCAUAAUCCAAACAGAAUCCUGUAAGACGGACAGAAAAUUGUAUUAUUAUCAGAAUUAGUGUAAGUGGACAGUGUCAACCUUAGAAAGUAUAAUUUCUAGAAAAAUGAACUAAGAGCAGUUAGAGCAGAGUACACAGUAGUCUCUCUUUAUCUGCUCUAUGUGUAGAAAGAAACACACACAACAUGAUUUCCCUCUGCUCUCAUGCCACAGUCAUCAAAACAGAAGACUUCUGUGACCAAAUGUGUGGAAGAUUUUGUCCACCAAAAAAUAAGCAAACAAUUCUGUAGCAGAAACCAGCAAGUUGUCCUCUAUUUAAUUCCACUAUCUAUCUAGAAAUAGUGUUAGAUCCCACAGGCUGAGGGCUCAGUCUCACAAGACUGCCCUCCCACAUCAGUUGCAAAUGUGGGUUUCUGAAUCAUCUAACCAGCUGGUUUCAAGUUGGGAUUCUCAUGACUCCCUCUUUGGGUUUGAUUAACGUACUAGAGUGCCCCAAAUACUAAGGGAAACACAUUUACCAGUUUAUUAUGAAGGGUAUCACAAAGGAGACACAUGAAGAGAUGCAUAGAGCAAGUUAUAGGAAAGGGGCAUGGAGCUUCCAUGCCCUCCCAGGGCACAUCAGCCUCCAAACACUUCCAUAUGUUCAGCUAUCUGGAAGGUCUCUGAUCCCAGUCCUUCUGGGUUCUAAAGAAAGCUUUAUUACAUAGGCAUGAAUAAAAAAAAUCUGUGGCUCCUGGUAAUUGACCUAAUCUUCACCUCCUAGGAGGUUGAGGGGUGGGGCUGAAAGUCCCAACACAUCAUGUCUUCUUCUUUCUUGUGACCAGCUCCUAUCCUGAAGCUACCUAGGGACUGCCAGCCAUCACUCAAUUAUUAGCAUACAAAGACAUCACUUUGGAGAUUCUAAACAUUCUAUGAGUUGUACGCCAGAAAACAGUGUUGAAGACCAAAUAUAGAUUUCACAAUAUAAUAUCCAUGGUUUUGAUUUCUGUGAUUUCAGUUAUUCAUGGUCAACCAUAGUCCAAAAAUAUUAAAUGGGGAAUUCUAGAAAUAUGCAAGUCAUAAGUUCUAAAUAAUGUGUCAUUCUAAGGAGUAUGAUGAAAUAUAAAGACAUCAUUUUCCAUCUCACCCAGGUCAUGAAUCAUUCCUUUGCAUAUGCUAUCUGCCCAUCAAAAUGGUCUGUUUCUGAGUCCCAACCAUCAACAUUAUCAUGGCUCAAUGAUCCACCAUCACAUGAAGCAGAUGAUCCACCUUCUGAUAUGUAGUCAGAUAGCCAGAAAUAAUUAGUAGCCUAACACCACAUGACAACUCCUACCUCAUUCACCUGACUUCAUCUCAUCACAUAGGCAUUAUAUCAUCUCACAGUCAUCACAAGAAAAAGAAGGACGGAAUGAAGUUGAUAAUAGUGAGACCUUGUUGGUACAAGACUACGUAACAUAACCUGCGCUUCUCAACAAAGAAUUGCUUUUCUGACUUCUGCACUCAGAAAAGGGAAUCACUUGAGGGAACAACCACAAGUUGGAACCCACUACAACUUUGGAAAGAUGACAUGGGAUUUUAC
rnacentral:lncRNA from 1 species